GUGGGGAAUCUUCCGCAAUGGACGAAAGUCUGAACCAGCCAAGUCGCGUGAAGGAAGACGGUUCUAUGAAUUGUAAACUUCUUUUGUGCAGGAAUAAAGUGGGUUACGUGUAACCAUUUGUAUGUACUGUACGAAUAAGGAUCGGCUAACUCCGUGCCAGCAGCCGCGGUAAUACGGAGGAUCCGAGCGUUAUCCGGAUUUAUUGGGUUUAAAGGGUGCGUAGGUGGAUUGAUAAGUCAGCGGUGAAAGUUUGCAGCUUAACUGUAAAAUUGCCGUUGAAACUGUCGGUCUUGAGUGCAAAUGAGGUAGGCGGAAUGUGUUGUGUAGCGGUGAAAUGCUUAGAUAUAACACAGAACUCCGAUUGCGAAGGCAGCUUACUGGGAUGCAACUGACACUGAUGCACGAAAGCGUGGGUAUCAAACAGGAUUAGAAACCCGUGUAGUCC
rnacentral:rRNA from 1 species